GACGAACGCUGGCGGCGUGCUUAACACAUGCAAGUCGAACGGAAAGGCCCUGCUUUUGUGGGGUGCUCGAGUGGCGAACGGGUGAGUAACACGUGAGUAACCUGCCCUUGACUUUGGGAUAACUUCAGGAAACUGAGGCUAAUACCGGAUCGGAGCUCCUGCUGCAUGGAGGGGGUUGGAAAGUUUCGGCGGGUGGGGCUGGACUCGCGGCUUAUCAGCUUGUUGGUGGGGUAGGGGCUUACCAAGGCUUUGACGGGUAGCCGGCCUGAGAGGGUGACCGGCCACAUUGGGCCUGCGAGACGGCCCAGACUCCUACGGGAGGCAGCAGUGGGGAAUAUUGCACAAUGGGCGGAAGCCUGAUGCAGCAACGCCGCGUGCGGGAUGACGGCCUUCGGGUUGUAAACCGCUUUCGCCUGUGACGAAGCGUGAGUGACGGUAAUGGGUAAAGAAGCACCGGCUAACUACGUG
rnacentral:rRNA from 1 species